rnacentral:rRNA from 1 species
GUAGGGAAUAUUGGACAAUGGGGGCAACCCUGAUCCAGCGACGCCGCGUGAGUGACGAAGGCCUUCGGGUCGUAAAGCUCUGUUGCAAGGGAAAAACAAAAUGAUGGUACCUUGCUAGAAAGGAUCGGCUAACUUCGUGCCAGCAGCCGCGGUAAGACGAGGGAUCCUAGCGUUGUUCGGAAUUAUUGGGCGUAAAGCGGGUGCAGGUGGCUUGGUAAGUCAGAUGUGAAAGCCUGGGGCUUAACCCCAGAAGUGCAUUUGAUACUGCUGAGCUUGAGUGCUGGAGAGGCUAUUAGAAUUCCUGGUGUAGUGGUGAAAUACGUAGAUAUCAGGAGGAAUACCGGAGGCGAAGGCGGAUAGCUGGCCAGACACUGACACUCAGACCCGAAAGCGUGGGGAUCAAACAGGAUUAGAUACCCUAGUAGUCC